AGGUGUUUGUGGUUGGUCGGUGGGCGGAGUGCGCACACCUGUGGCUCAUUCAGCAGCACCUGAGCUCCCUUCAAGAACAGCGCUCGAACAGCGAGAGGACGCCAGAGUGUUAUCGUUGCGGUUCCCCUUGUGUCCCAGCGAACCCCUCGUGACUCUCGAGCCCUCCUGGUUCCGUCAGACAUACCUUCAUCCUGAACGCAAGGCUCACCCAUCUCUCUCUCCGGUUCCUCUCGCUGUUCUGGAUCCCUGGGUUUCUCGGUGCUGCUCGGACCCCUUCGCCCCGCUCUCCGGCUGACCGAACGCCUGCUCAAGACAACCAAGCUGAGUCCCCCUCACCGCCUUCCCCGUUCGGUUAUCCAAUCCUCGUGAUUGAUCCGGUCCCCUGGUCCUGGGGUAGUUCGAGCCAUCGUCGUCCUCCUUCCCGCAGAUUAGCGCUGCGGCCCCGUGUUUACCCGUGCUCUAAUAAAUCCUUAAAGUCUGACCUGUGUAACCAAGUGUGUUUCUGCAUGUGGGCCCGACAC